GGGUACCAGCAGCAGCUGGCCUACAAACACUAUGAUGGCUCCUAUAGUGCCUUUGGUGGCAGGGACACAGAAGGCAACACCUGGCUCACUGCGUUUGUUUAUAAGUGUUUUGCAAGAGCUUCAUUUCGCAUAUUUAUUGACCCAAAUGUCCAAACCCAAAGCUUAAUCUGGCUGUCUAGCAAGCAAAGAUCAGAUGGGUGUUUCCAAAAUGUGGGGAAACUCUUCAACAAUGCCCUCAAGGGAGGAGUGGAAGAUGAACUUUCACUGUCCGCCUACGUCACCUCUGCUCUGCUUGAAUCUGGACUACCUACUUCGCAUCCUGUGGUUCGAAAUGCUCUGUAUUGUUUGGAGACUGGAUUUAAAAAAGGAAAUAUCACUGUCUAUACCCAAGCCAUUUUGGCCUAUACGUUUGGCCUUGCUGGUAAUAAGGAAAACUUGGAUUUCUUACUGGACAAACUGAAUAAAUCAGCUACAAGAGUGGGUGAG